UAGGGAAUCUUCCACAAUGGACGCAAGUCUGAUGGAGCAACGCCGCGUGAGUGAAGAAGGGUUUCGGCUCGUAAAGCUCUGUUGUUAAAGAAGAACGUGGGUAAGAGUAACUGUUUACCCAGUGACGGUAUUUAACCAGAAAGCCAUGGCUAACUACGUGCCGG
rnacentral:rRNA from 1 species